UACGUAGGGACCGAGCGUUGUCCGGAAUCAUUGGGCGUAAAGAGCGUGUAGGCGGCCACUUAAGUCCUGCGUGAAAUCUUGCGGCUCAACCGCAAGCGGUCGUGGGAAACUGGGUGGCUAGAGUGCGGAAGAGGAGAGUGGAAUUCCUGGUGUAGCGGUGGAAUGCGCAGAUAUCAGGAAGAACACCCGUGGCGAAGGCGGCUCUCUGGAACGCAACUGACGCUGAGACGCGAAAGCGUGGGGAGCAAACAGG
rnacentral:rRNA from 1 species